UUCAUUUUUCCUAACGUUGUAGCAAAAAGGACGCUAUGCUAACUUUUACAGAUGGCUCUUCCAACGGAAGAGCUGCAUAUGUUGUUAAUGGUGAAAAGGAAUUGUAGAGCAUGCCCAUGGCUCCUUGAAAACAAUGUAAAAGGAUAAAAACAGGAGAAUUAAGAAUUGCCACAUAAUGCCUUGUUUGCUGCAGACAGAUUUUGGCACGGCACGAUGACACCAAGGAAGAAAAUAAAGCUGGAUGAGAUGACGGCAUGUACAGCAGAGGAUGCCAGCUCUGAUGACAUCACAGCCGCUGAUGACGUCAUAGGAGAAGUGGAACAAGGUUCCUGAACCCCUGACCCUGGUCUCCUCGCACCACCAUGCUGCCGGCUGAGGAAAGGGGUGCCUGAACCAACGUUCCUGACUGACAACAACUUGCAGCAGUCCGACAAGGGAAAGAAGAGCGUGGUGACAACUGGGGAUUCCCGGCCUCUUGAUGGACUUGCUACCCAAACUUCCAGACCUAGUGAGUCCUGUUUACCUUGGAACUGGACCAGAAAUGCAGACUGCACAUUUGGCUGUUCUACUCUUUGGGACACAGAACUCAUUUUGACAAUGUGGUAUUCAAUCUGCUGUUAAAAUAUGGGCCUGAGAACUGAGACCUAAACUUUCCCCUCAGGGGAAAAUGGACUUGUUACAAGAAGUGUGAAGCCCCUCUCCAAAUAUGAGAAGGGCAGCCCAAGAGUUUUACUGCUGCUCAGAAACUGGACAAUUACUUCAAAGCAGCAAUAUGGUUAAACUCCCACCCAUCAGAGAAACCUUUUCUUGUCUUUUGAUUAGAAUGGAUUUGAGAGAAUUGUGAUGUGACAAUUGUGUGUUUAUUGUUAAUUUUCACUCUAGAAUUAUGGGUAUUGGCCGGUUAAUGUUUGUAACUGCUUUAGUUAUGGUAAGAAAAGUUGACAUUUCCUGUGAGUCCUUGGAUUUGACAUAUUUGGUAAAAAAAAAAUAAUUUUGGAUUUUGAUACAGCAAAAAAAAAAUGUUUAAAAAACACCCUAGACCAACUAAAAAAGGCAUUCCCAACCCUGGUGAUCCUCCUCUCCUUUAAUUAGGAGACUGUAACCAUUAGGAGCAUGUUUAUUCAAAAAACAUUAUUUAAUUGCAGAUGAACUCUUUUGACAAAAAAAUUGGCUCGGAGACACAGAGCCCAAAAGUAUUUUUCUCCCUUAAUCCUUUGUUUACAGAGGUUGCAGUCAUUGACGGGCUUGAUCCUUUUUCCUCCCAGGCCCCUUAGACAUGGGCUUGCAUGAUUAAAAUACAGAUGCCGAAGAUGGGUGAGUCUGGGAAAUGGGAAAGUGUUCACCUAAGGCAGACGCAAUCAUCUGUCCUGUUGCAGGAGCACAGGCUUUAUUAAAAUUAAUAAAAAGGGAGGAAUUGUGGAGGCCAAAAAACGCGGGCCCAUUUCCAUGCUGUCGGACAGUCAGAGAGUUUGGAGAUUGACAAGCAUAGUUGCACGUACCAACGCGGGAUGUAAUUGCUUGGUUCUUAAGAAAGUAUUAAGAUCACUCCAUGCCAUCCUGACAGGUGGUCAGUCUAUGCAAAUGUACAUCUGUGCCUUCUUUUGUAACUAUGAAGAUCACCUAGAGAGGGGCAGUCUUCAGGACGUCUGACCUAGAGCAGUUUUGCUACCUAGAUAACAGAAUAUGCUAAUGAUUUGGUAUCUCAGACUGAAAAAGUAAUUGACUGUGUGACUUAUCCUUUGAAUCAUGUUAAUAAAAUCUUUGUUACCUUC